rnacentral:lncRNA from 1 species
UGUUGUGUGAUAUAUUCCUGGCAUUGCCUGAGUUUCUGCUGUCCAAUAAUAUGCUGACGACAGCCUUCCUGGUUUGGGUUUUUUUGUAUUUGGCGCAAGCAACGCAGACCGCAAGAAGAUACAAUGUCACUUGCUCUCUGCCCCACUCUCUCAGACUCUUCUCCUUGUAAGUGUCCCUGCUGAAUCUGAUAUUCGGCGAUAGAUUUGAUUGCUUCACAUUGGCAAUCAUGCCUCAGUUGCUCCACUUGAUUGCAGCACUGCUGGAGCUGCUGGGUCUCCUGCUGCUGGUCUUCAGCUCUAGGCAUCCUUAACAAUUCUUCCCCCGGUGAUCUUCUUGAACUUGAUUGUCUUAUAUAUUGCUCGCAGGAGCUCAAGUCCUUCCUCUGAAAUUCCUGGUGGCAUUGCUGUGACCGCGAUCCUUCCCCUCCAGCCUUUGUAUCGUCGAUCUCAAUGGUGGUUCCGUAAGCAAAAGAGGCGUUGGCAAUGAUGACCAAGAGAACGCUGAUGAGAGUUACUGUAGGUAUGAGCUUGGCCAUGGUUAUAGAACUUAUAAAUAAUAGCACCUAGAGAGUAUAUACUUGUUUGGAAAUGGAUGAAAAAGGUAAUCGGUAUUUGUACGAGGUUUCGGGGAAUGCAUGCAUAGAACGUGGAAGAUAUCACUUGAGGUGGCUCCAUUUGUUUUUGUGGUAUGGCUUAUGCUUACACGUAGGGCAGCUACAUGCAAAUUCUUUUGGUUUGGAAAUUUUUUUCGUUAAUAUGGACCUAUAUUUUUAUAUACGUCAAAUUAAUAAGUUAAAUUAUAUAAAAAUUAUUAAUUUUAGAUAAUAAAUUAUAUAAUAUUAUUUAAUAUUAAAAUAUUAUAUAUAUAUAUAUAUAUAUAUAUAUAUAUAUUUAUUUAUUUAUUUUCCAUUUGUCACAAUAUGUAUAUUUAAAUUUUACGUGUGAUAAUAAAUUUUGUAAAUGUAAAGUCUAAAUUAGAUAAUAAAAUAUAGAAAAAGGUAUAAAGAUUAAUUUUAUGAUUUAAUUUUUUGAUAUAUGUUUUUUUAAUUUUUUAAUGACACUUUAGUAUCCUAAGAAUUAGAUUAUUAGCAAUAUAUCUAAAUUAAUUAACAUUAUUAAUAAUUUUUGUUAGAAAUUAAACUCAAAUUAAUUAAUCUNNNNNNNNNNNNNNNNNNNNNNNNNNNNNNNNNNNNNNNNNNNNNNNNNNNNNNNNNNNNNNNNNNNNNNNNNNNNNNNNNNNNNNNNNNNNNAAGAAAAUAAUGAAUGGAGGAAUGAUUCUUUUCAAUGUUCAAAACUCAAUAAAAAAAUUAUAAUAAUUGGUGUACUCGUAUGAAAAUUGUGCUAGAAUCACAAGAUGCAUGGGAUGUUGAGAAAUGAUUCGAACAGCUUGAGAAUGACGAAGGCUUGAAUCAAGCUCACAGAGAUGCUUUACAUAGAUCUUGGAAAAGAAAUGAGUUGGCAAUGACAUUGAUGCAUUUGUGCUUAGAUGAAAGCAUGUUUGAAAAAGUCUCGGGUAUAGCAAGUGUCGAGCAAGCAUAAGAGUGUUGCAGAAUUCUUUUAAAGGAGUUAGUAAGGUGAUAAAAGUUCACUUACAAACCUUAAGAGCAGAGUUUGAAUCACUCAAGAUGAAAAGUUUUGAAUCAAUUUCAAACUACUUCACCCGAGUAUUGGUUAUUGUCAAUCAAAUGAGAAAAUAUAGUGAAAGCUAAAUGAUGUUCGAGUAGUUGAAAAGAUUUUGAGGUCUCUAGACUCAAAAUUUAAUUAUGUUGUUGCCAUCGAAGAGUCAAAUGAUCUAGGCUCCAUGAUUGUUGAUGAGUUGAUGGGAUUAUUGCAAGCUUGUGAAGAAAGGAUGACUGGAAAGCAACCACAAGCUCAAGUUCUUCUCUCAAUGUUAUCUCUAAAAGAGAAAGAUCGUGGUUGCGGUAUUAGAUAUGGUAAUUUUAGAGGAAGAGAAAGAGGGAUAUCUGAUAAGAACUUUAACAAUGAUGAGAGUUCAAAUUAGAAACAAGCAUUAAGAGGAUGUGGUAGAGGUGAUUGGUCCAAAAGAAGAGAUUCAAAAGCUGAUGUGCAAUGUUACAAUCGUGGAAAAUAUGGACAUUACGCCUCAGAAUGUAAGGCUAAUGUGCAUUAUUAUAAUUGUGAAAAAUAUAGUCAUUAUGCAUCUGAAAGCAUAAAUUCAGGUGUCAAAGAAGAAAAGGCUUAUUGUGCUAAAGGUGAAGAUAAUAAAGGAAAUAGUUUGUUACUAUCAUGUGAUGGAGUGAAGAAAAAGAUCAAGUAGCAUGGUAUUUAGAUACAGGUGCGAGCAAUCAUAUGACUAGCAAAAAAAAUUCUUUGUGUCUCUUGAUGAAACUUUUAAUGGAAAUAUUUCCUUUGUAGAUGAUAGAAAGGCUAUGAUUGAAGGAAGAUGAGAUAUUCUCAUUCAAGCUAAGGAUGGAUCGCAUAAGUUCAUUAUUAAUUCUGAGUAGCGUUAUCAAGAUUCGAAGCGAAAAAAUGGUGUUAGCAUAUUGAGUUUAGGUCAACUUUUGGAGUAAAGAUAUGAGAUCAUGCUAAAAAAUGGUGCUUUGAUGAUAAAAAAAUUCUAAAGGCAAUCUGAUUGCUAUAGUGAAAAUGUCUAAUAACAGAAUGUUUACUCUCAAAAUUCAAACUGGUUGUGUUAAAUGUUUGAAAGCAUGUUCAUCGAAUCCUUCUUGGUGUUAGCAUCAAAAGAUGGGUCAUUUAAAUUUUGAUAGUUGUUAGUGAAAGAAAGAAUGGUGUAUGGCAUACUUUUCAUUGAUCAAUUGCAAUAGUUGUGUGAAGGAUGUCUAUAUGGCAAACAAUUUAGAAAUAGCUUCUCACAGGAAUCAAGCCUCAAAACCUUUUGCAUUGGUAUAUGCUGAUAUCUAUGGCCCUAUAAAUCUACGUUCUUUUGGUAAAAAUAAAUAUUUCUUGUUAUUCAUUGAUGACUAUAGUCGAAAGACUUUGGUGUAUUUUCUGAAACAAAAGUCAGAAGGCCUUGAUAUGUUCAAAAAAUUUAAAGAGAUGGUAGAGAAGGAAAGUGGAUAUUCAAUUAAGGCUUCGAGAAUUGAUUGUGAUUGUGAGUUCACUUCAAAGCAAUUCAAUGAUUAUUGUGAGUCUCAUGGUAUUUGAAGAUUCUUAAUAGUUUCAAGAUCACCUUAAUAGAAUGGUGUGAUGGAGAGAAAGAAUAGAACCAUUCUCAACAUGAUAAGAAAUAUGUUGAAGAGUAAACAUAUGCCUAAAUAAUUUUAGGUUGGAGCUGUAGCUUGUUCAGUUUAUCUAUCCAAUAGGUGUCCUACAAGAAGUUUGCAAAAGUCUACACCAUAGGAGAAAUGGAGUGGAAAGAAGCCAAUUCUUUUCAUUUAAGAGUUUUUAGUUGUAUAGCUUAUAUACAUAUUCCAGAUGAAACACGAAUUAAAUUGGAUGAUAAAAGUAAGAAGCUUGUGUUUGUUAGGUAUGAUGCAAAGUACAAAGGCUACAAACUAUAUAAUCCAAAAAGCAAGAAGCCUGUUAUUAGUUGAGAUAUCAAGUUUAGUGAAGAUAAUUCUUGAAAUUGGAAAAAUUAAGAUGAAGACUACAAUUUCUUUCCUUUACUUGAUGAUGAGUCUAGCAAAAUAAGAGGUAUUGAGCAUCCUCCUUCACCUCCCAAAAUUUUCAACAAUUAUUCGUGAUGAUCAUAUGAUACUCUGAAAGACCUCCUAAGAUGAGGAGUCUUGAUGAUAUUUAUCAAACACUGAUGAGAUCAAUGAUAAUGCUCUUUAUUGUCUUUUUGCAAGAUUGGAGCUUAUAGAUUUUGAAGAAGCAAUGCAAAAUGAAAAGUGGAGUUUUUCCAUGAAUGAAGAAAUGGAAGCAAUUCAGAAGAAUGAUACAUGUGAAUUGUCAAACCUUCCGCAAGGAAAGUAAGCAUUUUGAGUAAAAUGGAUUUACAAAAUUAAAAAGAAUGUAGAUGGAGAGGUGAAGAAAUUCAAAGCUCGACUUGUUGCAAAAGGAUUCAGCCAACAACAUGGAAUUGACUAUGAUGAAGUUUUUGUACCAAUUGCUCGUUUAGAGACAAUUCGAUUGAUCAUUUCAUUGGCUGCUCAAAAGAAAUGGAAAAUUUUUCAAAUAGAUGUGAAAUCAGCCUUUUUGAAUGCAUAUUUGUAGAGAAACCAAUGGAUUAUGUUGUUAAAAGGCAAGAAAAUAAAGUCUUGAAGUUGAAGAAGGCUUUGUAUGGCUUGAAGCAAGAACCAAAGGCAUGGUACAACCGGAUUGAUGAUUACUUUAAAAAGAAAGAUUUCAUAAAGUGUCCUCACAAAUAUAGCCUUUAUUUCAAGAAAGAAAAUGGUAAUAUGCUGAUUGUUUGCUUGUAUUUUAAUGAUCUAAUAUUUACAGGAAAUAAUUUAGCAAUGUCUGAAGAAUUUAAGAAGGAGAUUGCUGAAGAGUUUAUGAUGAAAAUAUUGGCCUCAUAUCCUAUUAUCUUGGAGUUAAAUUGAAGUAAUCUCAUGACAGUAUUUUUGUUUCUAAAAAAGACUAUGCAAAGAAAGGCUUGAAAGAAUUCAACAUGGAGAAUUGUCAAUCUAUCAUUACACUUGCAGAGUGUGUUAUCAAGAUUUGAUAAUGGUGAGAAGGUGAGUACUAUUCUGUAUCGAAAGGAUUUUAGCGAAUCAAUACCACUAAAAUUCACAUUAAAAAUUCAUAAGUAAUUAUCUAGAAAGGAUUUUAGCAAACUAAUAUCACUAAAAGUCUGAAAAUAAUGCGACGAAGAUUUUGUUCCUCGGUAUGCAAAUCAAGGCACCGCCACCCAUGGUGGUUGGAAAAUUCAACGUGGCCGAAAAUUGCAAUCAGAGACCACCUAAUCGAGUCUGGAUAUGCAAUUAUUUUCACCUAACUCUUUAACAUUUUUUCAAAAAACGCCAAAGAAGUUGCUUCCCUGGCGAAGCUUUUUCUCCUAUUUCCAGUGAUGGCAACUCCAAUGAGGGCUUGUGUAACACCCAUAAAUUUUUUUCAGUAUUUUAAUUAGUUUAAUUUUGUUUUACAUAUGAUUAAUUGAGACAUUAAUUUAUUCAUUCCUCUGCAUUUUAUAAUUAGCUCUAUGAUACAAAUAUACACUAUAUAAUAUAAUGAUUUUAUUACUAAAAAAAAUAAAAUAAAAUAAAUUUAAAAUACCAAAUUUUAUAAAUAUUUUUAUGAUUUUCACUAUACUUUAUUUGCAAAUAAUUAAAUAGACACUACUUUAAAAUCACGACAAUAAUAAAUAUACAAAUUAAAUAAUAUAUAUAUAUAUAUAUAUAUACACGUGUGUUAGUGUAUAUAUGUAUUUAUAGUACAUAAUAAAGCAAAUAAUAAUAAUAAUAAUACUAAUAAAUACAUAUUUUGUACCCAAAAAUAUCCAUUUCCCUUCUCCUUUCUCAUUUAUUUUCUUUUCUUCCCGCUUGCACCCACCUCACCUCACGUCUCCCUCUCUGUUCAAGUUGUCCCUCCCCUUCCUCAUAAUUUUCCAGCCGCCUGAGCAGUAGUCCAGUCGUCCUCCACCGCCCUUGGCCAACGGCAGCUCCUUUUCUUUCCAUUUCUUGCCGGAAAAAUUGAAGAAAAAGGGAAUAUAGGCUGCCAUUUCUUCUGGGGGCCGUUGUAGGUGUUGUGGCUGUAUAGGGCUGCUACCAUUAGCUUUCUCAAGCUCCAAGCAGCCCAUUUUGGACCUCAUUUGCAGUUUCCAUCGUCGGAAAAGGGAGGAGGAGCUUCGCCGGAGCAGCAACUUCCUUGGUUUUUUUUUUUUUGAAAUAUUUGUGAAGAGUUAGGUGAAAAUAAUUAUACAUUCAGACUCCUCGCAUUGAGAUCUUCAAGUAGGUGGUCUCAGAUUGCAUUUUCGAUGACGUCGAACUUUUCAGCCACCGCAGGUGUCGAUGCCUCGAUUUGUGUGCCGAGGGGAAGAAUGUUUGUUACAUUAUUUAGAGAAUUUUGGUGUAUUCAUUCGUUAAAAUUCUUCACUAGUAAUUUGUUUUGGAUUUUUAAUGCGAAUUGUGGUAUUAAAAUCAGAAUAUUUAAUACGGUUGAACGAGUUGUUGAAUGAUUUUAGAACCGUUAUUAUUUAAAAGCUCAUAAACUAUUGUGUUAUAUCAUGUGGUGGAGAAUUGUUUGAAUAUUGAUAAAUUAAUUAUCGGAAUUAAGAAAUUAUGAUAAAUUAAAUAAAUUUGAAUAUUAUAAAAAUUAAUUGUGGAAGCCGGGUGUUUUAGGAGAAAUGAUGCCGGUAGAAUGUUUUAGAGAAAUCAUUGCAUUGCAUUCAUGUGUAAUUGUUUAUCCCAUUCCAAUCCAGUUGGUUCAAAUUUCUAUUCCUUUUUUUUAUUCUCUAUACAUGAUUGAUUCAUAUUCAUUAUUUCUUCUUCUUCUUCUUCUUCUUCUUCUUCUUCUUCUUCUUCUUCUUCUUCUUCUUCUUCUUCUUCUUCUUCUUCUUCUUCUUCUUCUUCUUCUUCUUCUUCUUCUUUAACUACCAUCCAAGCAACAAAAAAAUGGAAUUAAGGACCAACACAAGCGUGGCACAUCCAAUUCUCACAAAAUUAAAAUUAAUAAAAAAAUAAAACUAAUGUAAAAGUAGAAAGGGAAUUAAGGACCAACACAAGCGUGGCACAUCUCAUUUCUAUAGUGCAUGUCCUGAAUUUGCAUCACCAAAGAAAGCUCCAUCACCAAGCCUUGUUUUUAUUUCAAGAAACUCUUUAAGAGAACAGACUUCGCUUUCUCCACCAUCGUUAUAGCUAUAAUGAGCUUCUUUUGUUAUUCUUGUUCGCAUUUGUGUUAUACGGAUUUAUGGUGGUAGAUGGCGGUGGAACAACCAAAACAGCACCGCGAACUUCAUCGGCCGAUUUCUUUCUCUUACGGUAAUGACAGCAGAUGAAAUUGCUACAAUGUACUUGUCUAUUCAUGAGCAAUCUUCUUAUGGCAGCGUUGUUGAUUGUCUUGGCUGGAAAUAGAGAAUGGCAGAGGAGAGAUAAAUUCAUGACAGUUUUGUUUUUUGUCGAUUCCAAUAAACUCCGAUGAGGUGUGAACGAUCAAAACACAUGAAUAAAUUCCAGUCUCUGUAAGCUUUGGUAUUAGAUGACUUUUAUAUCAAUUGGUUAUCUUGAUCUAAUUUGUAAAUGCACUUUAACUUGAAGAUAUAAACUAUAAUAUCCCAUUGAUCUAGAACUUAAUGGUUUUUAUCAUUAAAUAGAAGAAAGAAAACAUACAUUGAUUCAUAUUCUUAUCUUAUUAAUAGAUACUCUAACAUUUUAGUUUUAUAUUUGCUAUAAUUCUUGAUACUAUGGGUAGAGAGAGGACCAAGUCUUAUUUAUAGACUAAUGGUGGUUUUCCAUCAAAGCAUCAAUGUUUACAACCCUUCAUGUCAUAAUAUUUAAUAAUAGUCAUACCUAUUCAAUUUACAACCUUUCAUUAACCAAUAGAAUUUAAUCAUUAAUAUUUUAUUAUAAUUAUAUAAAUCAUUAAUUUCUUACAUUCUCUCACUUGGCUCAUAUAAUUUAAUAAGAAUAUAAAGUGCACGAAGAUUAAUGUUAAAUUCUUUUUUUAUACAUUGGCUAUGACAUAGUAUCAUUAUUAAGUAGAAAUAUUAAUACGGGUCAUAGUGGUCGCAUGUCAUUUAUGGAUAUAGUUCCUUCCAUAUACCACAACACUAAUUCUCAACUUAACAUGAUCUUUAAUAAAGAUAACAUUAAUGGUCCAACAUUAGUGUCUUUAUUUCAAGAAUGUUCUUGUCAAUAUUACUCUAAAGCAAUUAUGUAUACCAAAUAGGAAACAGAAAAAUCAGAAACACAUAAUUGAGCUCAAAGUGUCAAUUAUAUAAACUUAAAAUAAACUUAAUCAAAUAUUAGUAAUGACGCCUAAUAAUGCUCAUUCUUAUAACAUGUUCAUUAAAUAUUUUGGGCGGUAAUCUUUUUGUUAAAGGAUCUGCAAUCAUAAGAUUUGUUCUAAUAUGUCCAAUUGACAUUUUUUGUUUCUGAACUUCUUCUUUAAUGGUAAAGUAUUUUAUCUCCAUAUGCUUAGCACCCUUAGAAUUCUUAUUAUUUUUAGAGAAGAAAACUGCUGCAGAAUUAUCAUAAUAGAUUUUCAGCGGCCUGCAAGUCCUGAAAUAAAAUUUCGCAGCCAUAAUCCAUGAACGGUAGCCUCAGAGCAAGCUACAAACUCAGCCUCUAUAGUGGAUGCAGCAAUGACAGACUGCUUCAUAUUCUUCCAUGAAAUUGCUCUUUCGGCUAAUAGGAGUAAGUAGCCAAAUGUUGAUUUUCUUAUAUCAACACAUCCAGCAAAAUCUGAAUCUGAAUAUCCAAUCACCUCAAGGUGCUUAGAUCUUCUAUAAGUGAGCAUAUGAUCCUUUGUUCCUUGCAAGUAUCUAAGAAUUUUCUUUGUAGCUUUCCAGUGAUCUAUCUAAUCCUGAAUUACUUUGAUAUUUGCCCAAUAUUCCGAACAACAAAAUUAAUGUCCGGUCUGGUGCAAGUUUGAGCAUACAUUAAACUCACAACAACAUAAGCAUAAGGAACGUUCUCUUUCUAUUCUCGUUCCAAUUCAUUUUUCAGACAUUGCAUAAGAUUAAAUUUAUCCCCUUUCUGAAUUGGAACUAUUCCUGCUGAAAAUCUGGAACAGCAAGGAUGGGUGCAUUGCAUAAUUUGGUUUUGACUUCUUCAAAGGAUUUUUGGGCCGCUUCACUGCAUUUGAACUCUCCUUUCUUUAUUAACUCUAUCAUCGGGGCUGUGAUUGUUGAGAAGUUCUUGAUGAAGAUUCUAUAGAAAGAAGCAAGGCCAUGAAAGCUCCUAACUUGAUGAACAUCCCUUGGAACUAACCAUGUGGAAAUGGCCUUCACUUUCUCCGGAUCAAUCUGUAUCCUUUCACUAGGAACAAUGUAUCCUAGGAAAGAAAUACUAUUACACAUGAAAGUACAUUUUUCCAUUUUUCCAUACAACUUAUGAGUUUUCAAUUUUUCAAAUAAAUCUCUCAAGUGCAACAUAUGCUCACUUUCAGAUUUGCUAUAUACUAAAAUAUCAUAUAAGUAUACAACAAUAAACUUAUUGAGACAAGGUCGAAGUACCUCAUUCAUAAGUAUCAUGAACGAACUAGGGGCAUUGCAAAGUCCAAAUGGCAUGACAAGCCACUCAUACAACCCUUGUUUCGUUUUGAAAGUUGUCUUCCAUUCAUCACCUUCUCGAACUCUCAUUUAAUGGUAGCCACUCCUCAAAUUAAUCUUGCUGAAAAUUUUAACACCACUCAAUUUAUCAAACAUAUCUUGGAGCUAGGCAUAGGAAAUUGAUAUUUGAUAGUUAUGUUAUUGAUUGCACGACUAUCAAUAUACAUUCUUCAUGUUCCUUCUUUCUUAGGCACCAAAAGAGCACGAACAACACAUGGACUAAGGCUCUCACACACAUAACCUUUCUCCAUUAGUUCUUCCACUUGCCUUUGCAACUCUUUAGCUUGCUCGGGAUUGCAUUUAUAGGCUGCUUUAUUAGGCAAUGAGGCUCCCAAAAUUAAGUCAAUUGCAUGCUCAAUCCUAUGAAAAGGUGGUAGCCCUUUUGGUAAAUCACAAGAAAAUAAAUCAGAAAAUUCUUCAAGCAAAUGACUCAAAGACAAAGAGAUAGUGGCAUAGGGAACAACAUUAGAAAUGAGUUUAACAAGAAGUACAAACCCUCCUCCCUCCAGUGCACACACUCUUUUUCAAAUUCUUUCCUCGAAAUUAGAAAAUUAGGCCUCCUUUCCACCAUAGGUUCAACCUUAGGAGGCAAAGAUAACAAUCUAAUCUUUUUUCCAUCCGUGGUAGUAACCGUAUAUACAUUAGAGACACCAUCAUGUACAACAUCUCUAUCAAAUUGCCAUGGUCUACUAAGCAAAAUAUGACAUGCACUCAUAGGCAAUACAUCACACUAACGUUCAUCAUGAUAAUUGCCAAUUGCAAAUGAAACUUGACUUUCAAACCAGUUUCAUUAUUCAACCAAUUCAAUUUGUAAGGCUUAGCAUGAUUUCGAAGGGGAAGCUUAAGCUUACUUACAAGUUCUAUGGAAGUCACAUUCGUGCAUGAUCCUCCAUCAACAAUCACAUCACAUGUCUUAGCAAGAACCUUGCACCUUAUAUGGAAAAGGUUCUCUCGUUGCUGCAUGUCUUUGAGAGGUUCAGAAUGUAAGACUCUCCCAACAACUCCACAAAGAGGGUUGUCAUUUUCCUCCGCAUCAUACUCCUCAACAUCUUCAUUAUUACUUUCAGAUUCAUAGCCAUAAGAAUCCUCCUCUGUUUGAGUUGUUUGCAACAGUCAUUCGCAUAAACAUUAAGCUUAUUCUGUUCGAUCUUUCCCAAGCUUUAUAUAAAACUUUUUCUUCAUUGCUAAUUUCAUCAGUAAUAGUAGCAGGUUUCUCAAUUUGAAGUGCCAAAUCAAGAUCCAGAACACCUAAGUGAAACUAAACUUGUUCGCACCAAUCAGAAAAAUUAAAACUAUUAAAUAAUGAAACAGAUGAAGCAUGUGAAUGAAGAGAAACAUGUACAAAUACUACAAAUAAAAAUAACAUAGAAUACUUAUACAUUUAAUGCUUUAAUUCAUAAUGUUUCUUCCAUAAAUUCAAAUAUAAAUAUAAAAUAUAUCAAAGUCCUCCUUUGGAUGAUACUAAGAUAUACUUAUGUAAAUAAUUAUAGGUAAUUAUAUAUGCAUAACUAAAUUUAUUUUCUCUAUCUUUGGAUAUGUAAAAGUAAAAUUAUUACAACAUACUAAUCACUACGAUUAUAUUUAUCAAUUAUAAAAUAAUUAAUCAACCUUUGAACUGAUCUCUAAAUAUCUUGUAAUGAUAAAUUUUAAUUUACCCAUAAAUAUACAAAAAUCGUAAUGUCAUUUAAACAUAAAAUUUCUAAGUAAUUGAAAAUUAUAAUCUAUAAUUUCAAAUUUAUUUACUUUAAAAAUUUGGUCACUUUGGUGACAAGCAAAUCGUUCUUAACAUAAAUUUCAAAGUUAUAAUAAUAUAUUUAAAUAAUAUAUCUACUUUCAUUAAAUAUUUAACUUAAUUUCAAUUAAGCAUUAAUUAUUGAUAUAUAUUUAUGUAGCAAGAAUUAAAGAUGAAUCUGGAUUAAAUUUCUUUUAUUAGGACGAAACUGUAAAUUUUUUCAAACUUAAUUGAAAGAAUAAUAAUUUUACAUGCAAUCUGAUAAAUUAACAAAAUUUAUGGACCACAAUGGACCUUUAACCAAAAACACCAGAAAGUUUAGUUUUUUUAUAUAACAAUCUACAGUCAUUUUCUAAGUUACAUAAACAUUAAUUUAGUCCCGAAAUGUCAAAAACUUAAUCAUAAACCAUACACAAUUAAUCUAAGACAGCGAGGCAACAAAUUUACACAAAGUCAUGAAACUAAUAUCAACAAAUCUUAAAUUUAAUCCAAACCAUGCAAAAUUAAUCAUUUUAAUUUAUAUACUAAAACAAUGAUUAAUUCUUGCAUGCAUCCACGACAACAAUAAAUCCAACAAACUUAUAGAAAAACACGAUUUCUUAAACUUUACUCUGAUAGCACAUGUAAACUAUAAUAUCCCAUCGAUCUAAAACUUCAUGUUUUUCACUAUUAAAUAGAAAGAAGAAAACAUACAUUGAUCCAUGUUUAAUAGAAUGUGAUUUUUCUCCCUUUUCCCCUUAUCUUAUUGAUGGAUACUCUAAUCUUUUAGUUUUGUAUUUUGUAUAAUUUUUGAUGAUAUGGGUAGAGAGAUGACCAACUCUUAUUUAUAGACUAUUGGUGGCUUUCCAUCAAAGUACCAAUUGUUACAACCCUUUAUGUCAUAACAUUUACCAACAGUCAUAACUAUUAAGUUCACAAUCUUUUAUUAACGGUAUAAUUUAAUCAUUAAUAUCUUAUUAUAAUUAUGUGAGUCAUUAAUUUCUUACAGAAGAAUCCUAGUUCUUCUAUUGAUCUUUUAAUAAACAUGGUUGAGUUUUCAUCAAUCUUUUAAUGAAGAAAGUUGAGUUUUGAUUUUUGAUCAAACUCACCGUUUUCAUCUGCUCCAUGUCAGCAAUUCAUUUUGCUGAUAUGGCUCUUUUUCUUGUUUUUAAGUAGUUUUGGUGCCACGUAUGCGUGUUAUAAUCGGAUUUCACUUUCGAUUGCCAAAAUUUCAUAAUAUAGAAAAAUAUAUAAAAAAAGUGAUUAAUGUGAUAAAUUUAAAAGAAUUUGAUAAUUUACAAAAAAAAAAAGGGUCAAACUAUAGAAAUUUUUAGGCAGUUAGACCUCUAAAAGUUAAUUAUUUUGUUGAAUUUUCAACUCCUUUGUUAGUCUUAAAAUUAAGAUUGACAUGUUGAAAUAAAACUCAAUGUUAUUAUUUCAUUGGAUGAGGCAUUUAAUGACGUGGUAAAUUAACCUCAUCGAUAGCUACAGAUAUUUGUGAUAUGAUUUAUGCUUACAUCGUAGAGCAGUUACAUGCAAAUUCUUUUUUCGCUUAAUACAGAUUUAUAUUUUCUUAUAUAUAUCAAAUUAAUUAAUAAAAUAUAUAUUUAUUAAUUUUAAAUAAUAAAUAUAUUUUAAUUAUUUAAUAUUAAAAUAAAAAAUAUUUAUAUUUUAUGUGGUAAUUUUGUAUUUAUCGCAAUAUAUAUACUUAAAAUUUAUGUUUGAUAAUGAAACUUUUAUGAAUGUAAAGUAUAGAUUGGCACUCUUCAAAGUGAAUAAUAAAAUAUAAAAGUAUAAGAUAAAAUAAAUUUAUGCUUGUUGAUACUUUAAAUAGAAAAAUAAAUAUUUUCAAGCAGAUAUGUUAAAGAUAUAAACUGUUUUUGAAGUUUUAUUUAAUAGUUUAAACUUGUGAAUAAAAAGAUUGUUUUUAUAGACAUAAGUUUUAAUUUGACUAAUAAGUUUAUCAUUAUUUUAUGUUGCAGUAAGAAUAUUUCUAAAUGUGCUUUUUAUUUAAAAAAUUUCCAUUAAUAUUAAUACUUUUAUUUUUCUUUUUAAAUUUUAUAAAAUGAGAAAUUAAGAUUAAAAAUAUCAAUUAAUAAGCUAUAUAACAUUUUGGAAUUUAUUAAUUAAAAUGAGAACAUAGAGUAAAAUUUUGACGAUCGAAUAUAGAUAAUUAAAUUAGUUCUUUAGUUCUUUUAUAUUAAAUAAAUAAAUAACCGUUCAACUUUUAUUUUAAAAUUAUUGCUUAGUGGGGUAUAUCUAUGCACCUAUAUAUCAACUUAUAUACUAAAUUUAUAUAAAUAUAUAAUUGAUACGUGAUUUUAUAGAUUAGAAUGUGAUCUAUUUUGAGGUACUAUUCAUUUCUUUAGUUCAUGAUUUUAAAGUUUUCUCUUAAAGAAAGGAAAGAAAUUAUAUUAAAUUUUAUAAGACUCAAAUUUUUUAAUUUUAAGUCAAUGCAAAUUAUAAUAUUAUCAAAUCAAUAAGGAAGAAUAACAUUUACUCCAAAAUUCUCAAUAACUGAAAGAUAUUAACACUCUUUGUCUUCAUCUUUACUCUUAAGUGUUUGCAAUUAUGAUUUUCCGAAAUCAAUCUUCCUUGCAUUAAAACUGCAUAUGAUCUGUUCGUUUAUAUUUAUUGUUUUCAAAAGAGAAAAUAUUUUGUUAGGUUUUCAAGCACUUUGUGUUAGAGCUUGUAGUUUGUAGGGUGACACAGUCUCCCUUAUAAAAGUUUAUGAGAGGCCCAUUUGAACCUAAGAAAGCAAAUGAGAGGUUGACAGAAGCCUAAUAACUUUUUUGGAUUAGUUGGAUAUGAGAUAUUUCAAACUAUAUAAGGUAUUUUAGUAUCAGAACCUUGUAAGGCUUGAUAUAUAGCUGUUAAUAGAGUCAAAUAGUGGAGACAAUCUUAAAGUGCAAUUUUUAGGGACUGAAUGUAGGUCUUAGUAUCAAACUAAGAUAAAUCUUUGUGUUAAUCUCUAUAAACUUACAAUUGCUAUAUACUUUAUUAGUCGUCUAUUACAUCUAUAUAUGAGAAUUUACUAUUCAGACGUCUAACUAUUUUCAAAAAGGUACAUGAGACAGCUUUCUCCAUGCAUCAUCUUACUUCUAUGAUCUAUAAGUGCUUACAAGUUACAUCAGUUGAGGUAUUAAUUAAAAUAUGUAGUUAUCUAACAAGAUGCUUUUUUAGCUUAGUUAGAUAUAUGUGCAACUUUAAACUCACAUUAGAACUUCUAUAGAAUUAUCUCUAAGCAUUUGAUAAACCAGUAAGGUAUCUAACUAGAAAAGCAUCUAUUUUGCACCUUCAAUAUAAAUAAUUUUUGAGGUAUACAGUACACAUAAUGAGUUUAUUUCACGUGUAUAUGAUAUUUUAAUUUUUAUCAAAUUUCUUUCAUUUAGAUUUUAAAAUCAUCAUUUAUAUUAUCUUAUAUAUCGAUAUGGACAAAAUACUUGUUAAUCUUAUUGGAAAGAAAAUAUGAAGUAUGUAAAUUUUGAUGUAACAAAUAUUCUCACACUGAAGGGCAACAAUUUUCCAAAUUUUCUGAAAAUAAUGUCAAAUUAAAUCAAAAUUAAAAAGAGCAAACAAGAAUGGAGAUUCAAUAUCAAGUUUAUUUCGAGUACACAAAGGAUAUCAUCAAAGUAUAUUAUAAGUACAUAACAGGCUUAUAAAUUUAACAGUAUAUAAUACAUUCCGAUUACAUUAUGAGUAUAUAAUAAGUAUAUAUUACCAUUUCUGAAUUUAUUAAAAUAUAUACAAUUGUUGUACAAGUACUAUAGAUUCUAAUAAAUGAGUUUAACCACUAAUAAUAGCUAUUAACUAAUUAUAAAAACUAAAUAUAAAUAUUAAUUCAUAAAAUCAUGUCAUGAAAUUGAAUCUAAAAACUAUUGCUAUUAAAUUUUUUUUGCAUCAAAGUUUAUGUAUCUUAUAUUUCCUUUUCAAUUUUUAUUGUCGUGAAAAUAGAUAUUUUAUCCAUACACAUAUAUAUAGAUAUAUAUCUUGUGUGUGUAUGUCUGCAUGUAAAUAUAUAUAACAUAUAUUUGAAAUAUACUUGUUAUAUACUUAAUAUAUAUUUUUCACUAUAUGCUUUAAAAGUUAUUCUAUAUUUUAAAAGAAAAAUAACUUUUCCAUAUAAUAUAUUACCACAAACUUACUAAAUUUUAAAAAUAUAUAUUUAUAAUAAUACCUAUAUAUAUUUGAUAUAUACUAUUUCUUAAGAUUUUUACAAAAUGGAUCUAAAUACUUAGUUUUUUGUAAAUUUAAGUUCUAAAAUACAAUACUCAUUUAAAAGUUAUAUGAUAUGAUAUUUUUGACGAAUUUUGAUAUAAUAAAAUUUGAACUAACAGAAAAUUAAUUAAAUAAAAGUUUAAAAUUGAAUUUAUCUUAUAAAAUUGAAAAAUUAAUGAAUUUACCUUCAAAAGUUUUUGAUAAAAUAUUGUUAAAUUAUUAAUGAGAUAGUUGUUAGAUUUGUUACAAAUUUUUUAGAAUUAAGAGUUUAGAUCGGAAUUUAUUUUGAAAAUAAAUUUAUAAUUUUUGUUGUUAGCGAUCAACUAAAGAAGACUGAUGCAACCAGAGAGAGAAAAAUGAUAGUUAAAAUUGUUCUGAAAGUAAUUCAAAGAAAGAAAAGAAAACAAAGAACAAAAGGACGCAAUAAAAGGUUUAAAAUAUUCAAGAAUAAUGUUCAGAGAGUAUAGAAAAAGAAAAUUAUUAGCCAAAAAAGAAUUCAAAAGGUGUAUUAAUUAGAUGAACUCCUCUUUUCUGUAGAGUUUAGUCCAGAAACUCAUACACAUUUGAGUUAUUAAUUAGAUGGACUCUGAAUACUUUGAUCUUUUUUAGGACCUUUGAAUAAUUGGAUAGGUGUAAUAUAAUGGCGCCUAUAGCGAUACUGACAGUGCCACAGUUAAACAAUUAACUUCUGCAUUUGCUCUUUUAAAUUAUUUAUUUUCCUUAACAAAGUUCGUGUCUGAGUCCUGAGUCCUAAAGUUUGAGCUCCAGUCCUACGUUAAUGGAGUUGGGUAGGCUCAUGACAUAUUAAUUAACAGAGGACCCACAUAAACUUAUUAUAGAUUUUGCAACAGUCAUGAUACAUGGCUACUACGUAAUCAUCAUUUUCUAAUCUCACAGCAACAGCUGCGAAGGGCUAGUGAUCACUGAUCAUGAUCUUUAUUAACUACUUCAUAUAUAUAUAAUCCUGCGACUUUAGAACCGGCAUUCGGUUGGUGAGACGCCGCACAUUGAUGGCAAAUUCGCAGCUGUCCUGAAAGCCUCAAAAACAUCCUGACCUUGAAGUUGCCCCUGGCUCUGUUGCUGCUCAAUAGCCUGCCUCAGACCCUCGCAUCUGCACUGUGACUGCAUCUGCUUGAGAUGGUCACAGCACCCACGAAGAGACCGUUCUUGAUUGUCACUUCUUCUUGGUCCCUGUCCGGAAACUUGUUGUUUGAUAUAUUCCUGGCAUUGCCUGAGAUUUUGUUGCUCUUGAAUCUGCCCACGACACCCCUGCUGGCUUGGGUUUGUUCGAGUUUGGCGCAUGCAACGCACACCGCAAGAAGAUACAAUUUCACCUGCUCUCUGCGCCACUCUUUCAGACUCUUCUCCAUGUAGCUGUCCCUGCUGAAUCUGAUCCUCUGCGAUAUAUUUGAUUGCUUCACAUUGGCAUUCAUCUCUUACUUGCUUUACCUGAUUGCAGCAUUGCUGGAGUUGCUGGCUCUCCUGCUGCUGGUUUUCAUCUCCAGGCAUCCUUAACACUUCUUCUCCUGGUGAUCUUCUUGAACUUGAUUGCCUCAGGUAUCGCUCGCAGGAGCUCAAGUCCUUCCUCUGAACUUCCUGGCGGCAUUGCUGCGAGCUCGAUCCUUCCCUUUCACCCUUUGACUCGUCAAUCUCAAUGGUGGUGAUGGUGGUCCUGUAAGCGAAAGACGCAUUGGCAAUGAUGAACAAGAGAACACUAACGAGAGCAAUUGUGGGUAUGAGCUUUGCCAUUGUUACUGAAUAUCAGAAAGCUGCUCUUAUGGAAUAUAGUAGAUGAUGGUAAUGGGCUCUUAUAGGAAAUUUAGGGGAGUGCAUGUCGAGAACGUGUAAGAUUUAUGGAAUGGCCAGUCAUUUCUGGCAUUUUUAUGGGGUGGCUACCCAUGGUUUUGAGGUCUGCUUUAAGCUUACACGUAUGGCAGCAGCAUGCAAUUUCUGUUUGCUUCAUAUGAUUCUUUUUAUGGAUUUUGCGCUUGAUGUUGUUGAAGUAUAUAUUUUUAGGUUUGUUUUAUUAUAUAUUUUGUAUAUCGUUGAACCAAAUGGUCUUUUGUUUAUAAACUGUUAUCCCGAAGCAUAUACAAUUAAUUUAAGGGUUAAAUUUCAAUUUUACCAGACUAAAUUAUUAUUUCUUUUAGAUACAACAGAGGGUACACCGGAAAACGAACACAAAAGUAUCACAAUGCAGCUGACUAAAAUCAACAACACCUUUACCAUGCCAUAAAGCGUCAUUAGAUAGUGAAGAAACUUUGUUCAGUUUUUUUUCAUUCAUAUUCGAAAAUCUUAGGUACAAGGAUUUAUAUAAAUUUUUAUUUAUAAGACUCCUAUUUUAAUAUAAAUUAGAAACUUAAAGAAUAUGAAUGUAUAAGGAAGGAGAUAGAUACAGGGGAUAUAUAGUGUGUUAGGAGACAAAUUAAAUCUUCUACACUCCCCCUCAAGUUGAUAUAUAGAGAUUUUGCAUGCCCAAUUUAUCUAAUGCUCAAUAAAAAAUUUCCCUUAAUACUGCUUUGGUAAGAAUAUCGGCGAGUUAAUCUUUAAAUCGAACAUGAAGGACUUCAAUUAUUUUGGCUUCUAACUGUUCCUUAAUAAAGUGUCUGUCUAUUUCCACAUAUUUCAUCUGAUCAUGCUGAUCUAGGUUAUGAGCUAUACCUCAUGCAGCUUUAUUAUCACAAUAUAGUCUUAUAGGACUAAAAUGUGGAACUCAGAGCUCAUGUAGUAAAUUCUUGAUCCAAAAUAACUCACAAACACCUUGAGUCAUUCCUCUAUACUCUGGUUCUGCAUUAGACCGAGUUACAACACUUUGCUUCUUACUUCUCCGUGUAAUAAGGUUUCCUCCAACAAAAGUUAAGUAAUCUGUUGUGGAUCGCCUAUUAUCAAUAGAACCAACCCAAUCCGCAUCAGUAUAGCCCUCAACAUUCAAAAUUAUCCCUUUGGUAAAUAUAAUGCCUUUUCUUGGAGAGGAUUUCAAGUAUUACAAAAUAUAAAGAACAACGUUUAUAUGAUAUUCACUUGGAGAGUGUAUGAAUUGACUUACUACAUUUAAAGAAUAUGCCAAAUCCGGACGAGUAUGAGCAAGAUAUAUUAACCGACCUACAAGUCUCUAAUAUCUUUCUUUAUUCGUAAGUACUUGCUCGGAAAAUAUAUCAAGCUACGUAUGUUUACUAGUAGAAGUAUUAAUUGGUUUGCAAGCUAGCAUAUCGACCUUUUUAAGUAAGUCUAAACUGUAUUUUCGUUGAGAUAAAAAUAUAACUUGCUUAGAUCAUAGUACUUCAAUCCCUAAGAAAUACUUGAGAUCACCAAAGUCUUCAUUUCAAGCUCUUCAGAAAGAUAGUUAUGUAAGGCUAUCUUUUCAUCAUCAUCAUUAUCUCCUAUUACAAUCAUAUUAUCAACAUAUAUGAUAAGCACAACUAUUCUUCCUUUCUUAUAUUUUAUAAAUAGAGUAUAUGAUCGGAACUAAUAUGUUUAUAGCCAAAGGUCUUAAUUGAGUUUGUCAACCUUCCAAACUAAGCUCUCGAAGAUUGUUUCAAUCCAUAUAGAGACUUUUUCAGCUUAUAGAAUUGCUUACUUCCUUCAACCUGAAACCUACAUCUUGGAGGUAGUUCCAUGUACAAUUCCUCUUAGAGAUCGUCAUGAAGAAAAACAUUCUUUAUAUCGAAUUGGUGGAGACCAAUUUAAAUUUACAGCCAAGGACAAAAGAAUUAUGACAAUAUUGAUCUUGGCCACAUGAGCAAAGGUUUUUGUAUAAUCUAUCCCAUAUGUCUGACUAUAUCCUUUCGUAAUAAGCCAAGCUUUGUGUCUCUCCACACUUCCAUCUGCCUUGUAUUUAACAGUAUAAAUCCACCUACCAAUAUAUUUUUCUCCAUUUGGUAGAUCAACAAUCUCCUAGGUUUCAUUCUUUCAAAGGGACUUCAUUUCUUCAUCCAUUGCUUCUUUCCACCUCGGGUCUUUUAUGGCUUCCUGCACAUCGUUAGGUACAUACACAAAAGAUAAUUGAUUUAUAAAUGAUUCACGUGUCUUUAAUAGCCUAUGGUAUGAAACAUAAUUAUUUAUUAGAUAUUUAGGUCUUGAGUCAUCAUGGGUUCAUAACUUGAUUUAGACUUUUCUCGAGUAGUUCGGUUCGAGAGUAUUCUAACAGAGAUUUUAUGAGUUACUUGAGAUUCAGCUCAGGAUAAGUCAUCAAGUAAAGAUGACAUUGAUUGUAGUGCUUCAAAUUCAGCUUUAUUACCUUGACCCCAAAUAUCAAGCUCGCAAUGCUCGGUUGACCCAAGAUCAAAAGAAUAAUGCUCAGAUUGUUUUGACAGGUCGAGAGUUUCAGUUGAAAGAAGGUCAGGAAUCUCUGUUGGAAAAUCGGAUUGUUUUGAAGGUCGGGUUGUAUUUGAAGGUCGAGUUGUGUUUGAAGGUUGGGUUGUGUUUGAAGGUCGGGAAAAUAUUGAAGGUCAGGCUGCAAGUCAAUAUUUCUCUCAUCCUGACUUGCAGUAAGGAAAUACAUCUGAUGCUCAUGAAAUUGGAUAUCCAUACUGACAUACACUCGUUGAGUUAGAGGGUGAUAACACUUAUAUCCUUUCUGAUGAAUACCAUAUCCAAUAAAGAUACAACAAAUAGUACGAGGUUGGAGCUUGUGGCGUGUGUGGUGAGGAAGGUGAACAAAGAUUGUGCAACCAAGGACUUUAUAAGUAAGUUCGGUAAUGAUGGUGAGGUAAGGCUUUUAUUUAUUUUAUCAAAUGGGGUAUGAAAGUCUAGGAUACGAGAUGAAAUUCGAUUUAUAAGGUAAGAUGAUGAGGAUAAAGUUUCUCCAAUAUUGGAAAGACAUAUUGGCUUCAAAUAGAAUAGCUCGUACUGUUUUCAAGAGAUGUCAGUUUUUUUUCCUGUAAUCCCAUUUUGUUGAAGAAAAUAAAGGCAUGUGGUUUGAUGGAUUACACCAUAUUGUUGAAGAAAUUGUGUGAAUUCAUGAUUAAUGAAUUCACCUCCAUUAUUUGUCUGUAGUAUUUGCACUGGAGUUUUAUAUUGAGUUUCCACCAUCAAAUAGAACUUCUUGAAUAAUGAGCAAACCUCCUGCUCACUUUUCAUUAAGCAUAUCCAUGUCAUACGACUAUAAUCAUCAAUAAAAGAAAUAAACUACCGAGCUCUAUUCAAGUUCGGUACCUUUGUAGGUCUCCAAAUAUCAGAGUGUAGAAUCAUAAAUGGUACUGAACUUUUAUUUAAACUAGUUCGAAAAGAGACACGAUGGCUUUUUACGAGUUCACAAGUUUCACAUUUGAAGUUUAAAAGUAUAUAUUUUUAAAAAUAACUUAGGAAACGAAUACUUUAAAUAUCCAAAUAAUGCAUGACCAAGGUGCUUAUGCCAUAACCAUAUCAUAUUUUCUAUACUUGUCGAUAUGGAGCUACUAUUUUCCAAACUUGAUUCCGACAAGGCACUUAAGCUGGAUGGUGCAAUGUCAAGAUAAUAGAGCUUUUCUUUUCUAAUGUCAUAAACAAUCGUCCUCUUUAUCUUGAUGUCCUUAAAAAUAUAAUAAUCAGCCUAAAAAAUUACUAUACAAUUUAAAAAGGUGUUUAGUUGAGAUAUAGAUAUUAAAUUGAAGUUUAGAGAUGGAACAAUUAAAACAUAUUCUAAAUUUUGGUUGUCAAGUGUGAAUGACCAUUUACCAGUAACACUAGCUUUUGUAUCAUUAACUGUGGAUAUAACGGAUUACUCAGUUGCUUUUAGCUCAGUAGGUGUGUUAAAAGGCAUAUUAUCAGUCGAUCCAGAAUCAAUAACUAAUAUAUACGACCUAACAGUGGCAGAAUUACAAAAAGAUUUAUCUAAUAGUUCUAAAGAUAUGUGUAAGAUAACAACAUCUAGCGAGGAAGGUUGUUCGGCUACAGCUAUUGAUACUGAUGCAGUUUUUACAGUUUUUGACUUUCUUUUCGAAGCUUUAGAAGGAUCCUACCAUUUAGGAUAUCCAAUCAGAUCAUAACAUCUGCUUUGAGUAUGGCCUGUUGCACCAUAAUGUAUACAUUGCUUUGUUGAAUUGGUUUGUUUAUUACCAAUAUCAAAGCUACGAAUAGAAUUCUGCAGAAGUGACGAGUUAGUUCUUUUCGCGAGUAAUGUAGCUGACUCUGAGAAAGCAUGUUCUCUAGUUAAGAUUUUUUUCAAUUUGCUUCUCGGCAAACAUAUGCAUAUGUUUGUUCAAGGUCUAAGCUCGGCUCCAUUCGGAGGAUUUCUCCUCUCACUUGUUCAAACUCGGCGUCAAGUCUAUUUAAAAAGAUGUGGAUUCUAAACUUCUCUACAUCUGCUUUAUACAUAGUAAUGCCCUCAAGAUCUUUUAUUCUUAUCUUAUCCCAAUGAUCAAGUUCCUAGAAUAUCUCAACUAGCUCGCUAUAGUAGGUCGGAAGCCGACUUAGGAAUGCUCGUUGAUUAAGAGCAAAAAUCUAAGUUUCGUCUGAUCCAUCAUAGAAUGCUUUUGGAAAAAGCACUCUAGAUUUCACGGGCUAUACUGAUACGAGGAUACUUUUUCAUAGUUUCUGGUAUCAUUGAUGUGAGUAACCAGCUUUUAACUUUUUGGUUUUCAGCAUACCACUUGAAGUAAGAUGGAUCAGUUAAUAUGGAGUUAAUAUGGGUAGAGGAGAAUCUCCUAUAAUAUAAUCCAAUUUUUUACGCCCAACAAUAUACAUCUCCAUGAUUUGAGACCAUGUAUCAUAAUUGGUUUCAGUAAGAGUUAUUCUAGCUUUAAAGCCAAAAUUUUUAGAAUUGACAUGGAUAAUUUGAGUGAUGGUAUGGUGGUUGAUUUAGUAGGGGUUUCAGAUGGAGAGGAAGAUAUUUUUUACAAUAAAAAUUUUAUGCAACUAGGCUCUAAUACCAUGAAGAAACUCAAUUCAGUUGUUUUCAUUCAUAUUUGAAAAUUUUAGGUACAAGGACUUAUAUAGACUCUUAUUUACAAGAAUCUUAUUUUAGUACAAAUUAAGAACCUAAAGAAUAGAAACGCAUAAGGAAUGAGAUAGAUACUGCUUUAGGAGACAAAUAAAAUCUUCUACAGAUAACCAAUCAGCAAUUCUAUUACCUUCCCUUAGGGUAUUUUGAACUUGAACAUAGUAAAUUAUAACCCUUAUAUUCUAAUUGAAAGGUUAAUCUCAUUCAAUUUUAAAAAAAUUUACGCCUUUCAGGUGCUUCAUAAAGUGAAAGCAUCUUUCAGAUAUUUCAUAAAGUCAAAACAAUACAUUCGACAGUAAAAAGUAUAUGAAAUAGGAUAGCAAGAUCCUCGUUUAACUUGUCCUAAGCUCCUUGAAUAUUUGAAACAGUAAGGGAAACGGGAAUAAAACCUAACUGGGUUAAACGUAGACAUGUUCUGAAAGGAGCAUUGGAAAAAAAAUGUCGCACAGUUGCAAAUGCUCCAUAACGAACACAUGGUGCAAUAAUUCCAAGAUUACUAAAUAAAGCCGAUCCAACUGAUAGAGCAUUAGAUAAUAUUUUUGCAAGAAAAGCUUCAAUUUAUUUGGAAUAUUUUAAUUUUCAGAGAUGUUUCCACUGAGUGUGUGGAGGUAUAGCCAUGGUGAAAUAAUGGGGCUAAAUGGAAGGAAAGAGAGACUUCUGCCAUGCAUAAUACCUUAAACCCACUAUAUACUUUUCUGUAUUGUGAAAAGGAAAACUGUAAUUGUCACCGUUUGAGACCAUCUCGGGCAAUAUUAAUAAAAAGUGGGUUCUAAAAAAUAAAAAGAAAUAGAUAUAUCAAAUAUGUAAAAAGUAGAGGUAUUUGGUAUUGUAUUUCUCUUUUAUAUCCAUACAAAGGUGUGAAACGAUAGUUUAGCAAAUAUGACAAAAGUCACUUCUCUUUCAUCAUCUUUUAUUGAUUUAUUUCCUUCUCCAUUACUUAUUUUUCUUAAUAUGUAAUCUAAAAUUUCCAUUACCUCUCUUUCAUAACAAGUAAAAAUAAUCUAAUAUUCCAUCAUCCAUAAUAACUAUCAAUCUUCUUUUCUUUUAUUUUUUUCUCUUAUUUCUAUCAAAUUUUUAUUUACUUUUUACUCCUAUUUUUCCUCAUUCUUCAAUCUUAAUGUUAUAAUUUAACCCAAAAGCUGUUAUCUUAUAUUCCAGCUCUACUAUUUUGUAGCUCGUCUCAACGAGUUAUGGUGAGUUGAGCAAAAUAGGUGGGCCACUGACUCAUCAACUCAAUUUGAAUCGGUUUAUUUUGACUAAGUUUCAUCUCUUGGUUUUCACAUAGUUUGUUGUUGUUGGAUGGAUCUAUUGUUCGGGCAGUAGUAUAGUAGUAUCAAACGAGAAGUUUUUUAGAAACUCUUCAAAAAUAUCUUAAAUCAAUAAAAAAAUCAUUUUUUUUCUAUAAAUUUUUCUUUCCAAAAUAAACUUUUUUCUAAAGUUAUAUUGUAAUUAUUUUUCAGUUUUUUCAGUUAUUUUUUUAAGUUUUUAGCUGUUAAAAUAAAAACUCAACCAAAACUGUAAAUUAAAAUAAAAAUUAAAUAACUAUAUUUUUAAUAUUUUAGUACAAUAAAAAAAUUAUAAAUUAAUAUUUUUUAGAUUUUUUUAAUCUAAUUUAGAUGUAUGUUAUGUUUAUAUAUUAACUAAUAAGUUAUAGAUAUCUAUUUAUUAGUCCUAUACCAAUAAAUUAUAGGUAUAUGUUUAUAAUUUUAAAUAAUAGAAUAUUAUAUAAAUUAUUGAACUAUAGUUAAUAUUUAUUUACUAAUUUUAAGUAAUAAAAUAUAUAAUAAUAAUUUAAUAUUUAUUAUUUUUCUAUUUGUUGUAUUGUAUUUAUAAUAUUAUAUUAUUUUAUGAUGUAUAGACAUUAUAUUUAUUGUGAUGUGUAAAUCUAAUAAACCUGUUAUUUAUUGUGAUGAUAUAUAGAUGUUACAUUUAUUAUAAUGUGUAGAUAUAUUUUUAUUGCGAUAUAUAGAUAUGACGUGGAUAAUAAUUUUCCAUCAAACUAAUUUUUCUCCAGAUUCUUCAUGGUUUAAUUAAUAAAGUUCUCAUUUAUUAAAACAAAAUAUUGAUCUCAAAGUUCGAUAUGGGUCUUUGUCUCUGAGAAGCUUUUGAAAUAUAAUUAAUGUAAAAUAUUAAACAAUUCCUGCGAAACUCUUGAAAUAUAAUCAAUGUAAAAUAUGGUACUAUGUUAUGUUUCCACCCUUUCCUUUUCGUCAAAUAAACUUGAGCUUUAAUCAAUGUAAAAUAUAGUAUUAUCCUAUGUUUCCUCCCUCUCCUUUUUGUCAAAUAAACUUGAGCUUGAUUCAAGCUUUCCAUAUGAUUAUAGACCAACUAAUUAAUAAACAAAACCUAAAUUCAUGAAGUAUUGUUCAUUCUCUCGGUCUAUAGUUUCAUAAUUCAUCCUUUAUAAGAAUAUAUAUAUAAAGAAAAAGAGUAUCUAAUGGAGAUCAUCAAUACAAAUUCAUUAAUCUUAAUGAAUUGAAUAUGCAUCUUGAAUAUGUCAAAAUUUUAUUUCCAAACUUCUUGAGAAGCCAGAUUGGUUACAGAAUAGCUAUGCAUCUUGAGUUAUUUUACAUAAUUAAACAUAUUUAAUCUAGAGUUUAGUCCAAAAACUCGUAUGGAUGCAUGGAAUGGACUCAUUGAGUAGCUUCCACACGAAUUUGACUAAUUCGAUGGACUCAUUGAACAAUUAGAUGGGCGUAACGCCUUGAAUAGCUACUAUACUCGUUGAUUAAUUAGAUGAAAUCUUUGAGUACUUAGAUUUUAGUUUUUUAGGACCUUUCAAUAAUUGGACAGGUGUAAUAUAAUGGCGGCUAUAGUGAUACUGAAAAUGCCAGAGUUAAUCUUUGAAUACACUGGGGGCUUUCGCAUUUGCUCUUUUAAGUUAUUUAUUUUCCUUAACAAAGUUCUAAUACAGUUAAAGUACCAGUCUCUGAGUCCUGAGUCCUAAAGUUUGAGCUCCAGUCCUACGUUAAUGGAGUUGGGUAGGCUCAUGACAUAUUAAUUAACAGAGGACCCACAUAAACUUAUUAUAGAUUUUGCAACAGUCAUGAUACAUGGCUACUACGUAAUCAUCAUUUUCUAAUCUCACAGCAACAGCUGCGAAGGGCUAGUGAUCACUGAUCAUGAUCUUUAUUAACUACUUCAUAUAUAUAUAAUCCUGCGACUUUAGAACCGGCAUUCGGUUGGUGAGACGCCGCACAUUGAUGGCAAAUUCGCAGCUGUCCUGAAAGCCUCAAAAACAUCCUGACCUUGAAGUUGCCCCUGGCUCUGUUGCUGCUCAAUAGCCUGCCUCAGACCCUCGCAUCUGCACUGUGACUGCAUCUGCUUGAGAUGGUCACAGCACCCACGAAGAGACCGUUCUUGAUUGUCACUUCUUCUUGGUCCCUGUCCGGAAACUUGUUGUUUGAUAUAUUCCUGGCAUUGCCUGAGAUUUUGUUGCUCUUGAAUCUGCCCACGACACCCCUGCUGGCUUGGGUUUGUUCGAGUUUGGCGCAUGCAACGCACACCGCAAGAAGAUACAAUUUCACCUGCUCUCUGCGCCACUCUUUCAGACUCUUCUCCAUGUAGCUGUCCCUGCUGAAUCUGAUCCUCUGCGAUAUAUUUGAUUGCUUCACAUUGGCAUUCAUCUCUUACUUGCUUUACCUGAUUGCAGCAUUGCUGGAGUUGCUGGCUCUCCUGCUGCUGGUUUUCAUCUCCAGGCAUCCUUAACACUUCUUCUCCUGGUGAUCUUCUUGAACUUGAUUGCCUCAGGUAUCGCUCGCAGGAGCUCAAGUCCUUCCUCUGAACUUCCUGGCGGCAUUGCUGCGAGCUCGAUCCUUCCCUUUCACCCUUUGACUCGUCAAUCUCAAUGGUGGUGAUGGUGGUCCUGUAAGCGAAAGACGCAUUGGCAAUGAUGAACAAGAGAACACUAACGAGAGCAAUUGUGGGUAUGAGCUUUGCCAUUGUUACUGAAUAUCAGAAAGCUGCUCUUAUGGAAUAUAGUAGAUGAUGGUAAUGGGCUCUUAUAGGAAAUUUAGGGGAGUGCAUGUCGAGAACGUGUAAGAUUUAUGGAAUGGCCAGUCAUUUCUGGCAUUUUUAUGGGGUGGCUACCUAUGGUUUUGAGAUCUGCUUUAAGCUUACACGUAUGGCAGCAGCAUGCAAUUUCUGUUUGCUUCAUAUGAUUCUUUUUAUGGAUUUUGCUGUUGAUGUUGUUGAAGUAUAUAAUUUUAAAUUUAUUUUAUUUUUUAUGUACAUUUGAUAAUAAUUAUAUUUUUUUAUUAAUAAAAAUAUGACAUAUAUAUAAAUAUUUUAUAUUUUAAUAUUAGGUAGUUAAUAUAUAUUUUAUUAUUUAAAAUUAAUAAAAUAUAUAUCAGUCAUCUAUCAAUUUAGUAUAUAACUGCAGACAUAUAUCAGGUUGAGAUAAAAAAUUCAUCUGCUUUAUUAUAUAUUUAUAUGUUCUUGAGUUAAAAGAACAAAGCAUAUAUAAUUUCUUUCGAGAAGAAAUAUAGAUAUUCUAUUAAUGAGAAUUUGAUAGAUAUAUUUUAAUAUAAAAAAUAAAAAUAAAUAUCAAAUAUCAAAAAAUAUAUAUAAAAAAAUUAUUUUUAACAAUCAUCAAUCGUGUUGAUGGAACAAUAAAUUACAAUUUCGUGAGAAAUAUGCUUUAUUAGGUGGCACUAAGUUACAUAUCAAUUUUACAAAUAUUUUUUAAUGAGUCUAAUUGUUUCAAUGUCAAUUUUGAUCUUUUUUUUUUUUCACCGUUGCUAUAGAGUAAGAAUUCAACGUCUCUGUAAUGAAAAAUCAUAAAACACUUAUAAAAAGAGAACUCAAAACCGAUAUACCUCUAUAAUGGAAAACUACAAAAUCCUUUAAGAAAAUUAAUAAUAAAAAAAUAUUACUAAUUUAAAAGUGAUAUAACGGAGGACGACAAAAUCUUUUAAGAAAAAUACUAAUAUCUAUUUAUAAAAUUAAUUAAUAAUAAAAAGUUAUUGCUAAUCGGCGGUAGAUUAAAAAAAUAAGAUUUUAAUAGAAAAAAACAAACAGCUUGAGUUUUUUUAAAAGUAGCUUGAAAUGCUAUUUUUGUAAAGUAUAUAUAAUUAAUUUGAGGGUUAAAUUUCAUUUUUAUCAAUCACUAUUAUUUUAUAGUAUAAAACGCUAAGAGCCAAUUAGUAAUAUAAAGAAUCUAGAAUUGCAUUAGAAGAUAAUUUUUACAUAUACAUUAACAGUAGUUUAAAGGAAAGAUAAAAAGAAAUGUUGUUUUCUUUUUUCAAACAUAGAAUAAAAUCUUAUUGCUUUUGCAGUAAUCCUUUUCUAAUAUGGUUUUGUUUCCUGUUAAUGUGCACAUCUAAAUACUCAUUAGAUUAAUUUUAUACAAAACUGCUUGCACAAGAGAAUUAUGAGUUGUCGCACUUACCGUUAUUUAUUUAUUUCUAAUUAUAUAAAUAAUAAUAACAAAAUAAAUCCCUGUAAUUACAGAUAAUUGAAUUUAAUUAUAUAAAAUAAUUUACUUGUCAUAGUAAACAAAGUAAUUAUAGAAUUUCUCUUAAUAAAAACUAGUCUUCCACAUUACAAAACUAUUGAUGUUAUUUUUAUUAAUAUAAAAUAAAGUUAUAAAAGAUAAUAAAAUUUCAAAUCUUUAGAAUUAUUUAUCAUAUCUUUUUUUUAUUAAAUUAUUUAUCAUAUUUUAAAAUAACAACAAUUAAAAUUAAUAAUAUCUAAAUAAUAUAUAUAUAUAUAUAUAUAUAAUAUACAUUCUUAAUAUAGUUAUUUAUUAACUUACUAACUUAUUUAAUUAAAUAUAUUUAUUCAUAUCACAUGAAGAUUAGAUGAAUCUAUUUAUCUAAAUUUAAUUUAUUUUCUCGUAUCAUACUUGACUUAAAUAUAUUUAUCGUUUGUAUUAUAAAUUAUUAAACUUAACUACAUGCUGUAUCAUUUAAUAAAUUUAUAUAAUUUCUUCUCAUAUUAUUUAAUAGAAUCGUAUCAAAAAUAUUAAAUCUCAUUACAUAUCGUGUUAUUUGAUUUGGUGGUAUCAAAACCUACCAAUCUAAAUAAGCAGUUACUUUCUUUGAUGAAAAUCAGUGGUUCAAUUAUUGCGUAAUUUGAGAUUAUUGGAUCAAUCUAUUAUAUUCUAUAUUCUAUACAGAUCAGUUAAUUAUUGUUUUGCUAGCCAAUCAUUUAAGCAACGUUAUUUAUUUCAUAUUAUAUCUCGAGAAAAAUAAGUAAGUUUAAAUUACUUAAUUCUGUUAUUCUAUAUGAUGAGGAUUUAAAUUUAAAUAAAAAUAUGCACGUACUAUUCAAAUUUAAUUAAAAUUUAAAUAUCUAUAUUAAAUAUUCAAUAUAUCAAUACAAUCUAAAUAUAAAUAUAAUAUCUAAAAUAAUAAAAAUACGAGUUAAUUAAUAAAAUUUAAAAUAAUAUUUUAGAUAAUAAAAAUAUAAUUUAAUAUUAUAUAAUCAAAUUUAAAUAAACUUAAAUUUAAAUUCAACCCAAAUCCGAUAUAUUAUGAUUUUUAUUUGAAUUCGUCUUGAGUAUAUAUAUAUAUGUACAUUGGAGGAUUCAGUACUUUGGAUUAAUUAGAAGAAGAAUGUAGACUUUUGAUAAAAUUACUAGUUGACUAAUAAACCUUAAAACUUACAUAUUAAGUAAAGCAACAACUUAGAAAGCCUUAGAACUUGCGUACACACAUCAUAUAUUUGUUUAUGAGUAAUGCCACACUCGAUUAGUCGUGGUCGUCUCAAUCACCUAAUCUCCAGCUACAAAUUGCCACGAUAGAGGUGAUCAGGCUCUUUAUUAGCUAGCUAUAUGUACAUGCAUCGUGUGUAAUAUUACCACACAUAGUUUAUUUUAAAAUCCCAAACCAGGCUCAAACUGGCAUGGGCUCGGUGACACACCGCACCUUGAUGGCAAAUCUUGAGCUAUCCUGAAUGCCUCGCGAACAUCUUCCCCCUCAAUCUGUCCCUCGCUCUGUUGCUUCUGAAUAGCCUGUCUCAGACCCUCGCAUCUGCACUGUGAUGUCAUCUGCUCGAGAUGGUCACAGCAUAAAGGAUAGUAGUCCAUUCUCGGUCCCCAUCCGGUAACUUCUUUCUUGAUAUAUUGCUGACAGCGCCACAGAUUCUGCUGCUUUUCAAUCUCUGCACUACAUGAACCUCUUUGUUGCUGAUGAAUAUCCUGUCUUAGAAUAUUGUUUGCGUCCUCAGCGUCCACUAUGACAGUUGUUCGGUAGAUGGAGGCAUCUACCAAGAAGAGUAGAGCUAUGAAGCUUGCUAAAAGGAUGGCGAGUUUUGCCAUAGAUGAUGAGUACUUGUAGAAGUGGAUUAUUUUGCUUGGUGGGCGAGUAGAGUGAUGAGGGUUAAUUUAUAGGGUUUUCAGGGGUUUUGCAUGGUGUGUACGUGUUGUAUUGAUUGGAAUUAAGGUUACACGUUGUUUGCUGCAGCGACACGUAUAAUUGUGCCAUAAUGUUGGUCAUGAAUUCUGUUAAUUGAAUUGAAAUACAUCCACAUUAUUUGCGGGAUAAAUUUUCUAACUUUUGAUUCAAGUUAAAUUAUAUAUAUAUAUAUAUAUAAUAUAUAUUAAGCGUGGUCUAUGGAUAAUAUAUUAUCUUUUUUAAUACUUAAAAUGUAAUGUGUGAAAACUUAAAAUGUAAUAUAUCUAAUUUUAUUUACAAGUCAUUCUUAUAUAUUGAAAACUUAAAAUAUUAUUCUCUAUUUUUAGUUCAAUAAUAAAACAAUUACUUUUGAAAAAAAGUCUCUUACAAAAUAUUAAUUAAUUAAAAUUAAUUCUGAAGCACUCAUAUAUAUUAUUUAAAAAUAUAUAAUAAUUUAAGUUUAUCCACUGAAGUGGGAUUAUAGAAUAAAACUCUUAGUAAAUUGGAGCUCUACUAGAAUCUACUAUACAGUAAAAACCUCACCCAAAAAAUGUAUUUGAGGAAAAGGGUUAUAGAAAAAAAAAGAACCUAAAUUGGUAGAAAAGAAAAAUCCAAAAAUGCAAAAAUUAGAUGAAACCCAAUAACAUUGCAACAUAUAAGAGACAUCCCCCUAACGUUUAAAUGCCCGAGAGAAUCACAUUCACAAAAAUGAUGUCUAAAACCGGACUCCAAAUGUGUUUGUUUCAAGUACUAAAACUUCCAAAUUCUAAGCUUCCAAACAAUAUUGCUCCUGAUUUCCUAUUUUGAGGUUCCUUCAUCUCAUAAACUAUUCAACUCUAAACCUAAAUUGUUCACUGUAACGACUGCAUUUUCUCAUCAUCCAUGUUAUGUGCAUUUACAUUUAAUCAUUGGGCAUAUGAUGGUAUAUCAAUGAUAUUUUUAUUUUAUGAGAACAGAUAUAUAUUAAUUAUAAGUAGAGAAUAAGAAGCAUGAUAUUAGAUUAUUAAUUUAGAUAAGUUGAUUAAGUACUUGGGUUAUGUGUAUUAAGCCUUAAGACUUAAUUGAACCAAUAGUUGAAGGUUGGGUAAAUAGAUUGGACUUAAAAGAUACAAUUAAAAGUUAGUACCUAUAUAUGGUUAGUAAGAAUUAAUUUAGGGUGAUAAAAAUAGUUUAGUAGGUUGUGGCAUUAAGAGAGGAAUAUUGGAAAUUGGAACCAUGAGUAAGCUCAUUUUACCUCUUCAUUCCUCUAAAAUUCGUACAUGGCCAAAAACACAAAAUUUGGAAUAAGAGAGAGGAGUAGAAUACCUAGAAAAACUUAAGAUUAAGAUAGGAUUUUGUCAACUAUUGAAGGAGCCAAGCUAAAGCUAAAUGAUUUAAGCAUAUUAGCAACCCAAAAGCUGAAAUUGGUAAGUUGUUACUUGAGUGUUAUUAAUUUGUCAUUAGGGUUCUUGAUUACAAAUUGGAAAAACUUCAUUUGAUGCUCUCAUUGAUUAAUUAAAGAUCUGAUUAUCAUGAAUUAGUAGAGUAUUGAAUGAUUGCAUAAAGAUAAGCUUGAUUUAAGUUUAAGUAUGUUAAGAUAGAAAACUGUCAAAAUUCUAGCAACCUUGAUGUUCUGUAUUUUAGGCAUAACAUGGGUUAUAUAAGUCCAAAUUAAGCUUAAUUAGUGUCUAUGGAAAUUUUAAAGAGUCCUCUAUAACUUUGUAGUUUUGUGAUUUCGCUAUUUUUGCCGUUUUGGUUGCUUAAAUUGAGCAAACAGAUUGCUGCUCGGGUACAACUAGCUGUAUGACCCUUGCUCAGUAACUUGAAAAUAAUUAAAUCUAUAGAAGUCGGAAUUGAGUAAUUCUUCUUGGAGAUGAAACUAGACGCAUAAAUGGAUAUUUAUAUUUAAUAUGAGAUUUUUAUAUUAAGUCAAUUUUUCCCAGCAAUAAAUAUACCUUGGUACUAAAUUCUGUCUAGAAAACAGAAAUGUUGGAGAUUAGUUUUAUGCAAUUUAUUGAUGUUAAUUGAGUUAAAUUGGUAUUUAACUAGAUGGGAAAUAUUUAUAGGAUAUUAAAACAGUAAUUGAGAGUCUUAGAGGAAGAGUUAGACCUAUGAAUUAGAGAGGGGAUGAUCUUGUAAUGCAUUAGAACUCGCAUUUACAUGAAUAUUUGUAAUAUGCAUGAAAUGUGAAUUGAUGAAUGUGUUGACAGGUAUUCAAAGGCCUGCAAAAGGAAGUUGUGGAGAAAAGAGGUUCUUAUAUGCUAAAGGAAUAAGUAUAUUUUGAGUAAGUAAAUAGUUAAUAUUUGCUAUGUUCAUAUAUUUAAUCAAAUGUUCCGCAAAUGGUUGCGUUUGCUUAAUAUUGUUUAUGUUUGAAUGACUGAGAUGGAAAUGAUUGGUGUUGAGUGGAACAAUUGUUAUUGCUGAAAUAUGAUAUAAGUGAAAUGAUUGAAUUGUGAUGUUAAGUGCAUAUGUGCAUGUGAAUGGUGGAUUUCCCUAUAAAAAAAAAAGAUAUAUAUAUAAAGCCUUGGGAGGCUAAAGCCUAGAGAGGCUAUAAAAGUGUAUAAUGUGAGAUGAGGCGGAGCAGCUU